rnacentral:rRNA from 1 species
AAACUUGAGAAACCCGAAAGUUCGAAAGGGGAGAUUCAUCGUCAGCGACCGCUGGCUUUUGUACGUUUCGCGAUGUGCGGCCGACUCCGGUCGCAUCGAUACGCGUUCGUAUGGUUUAGACCCGGUUCGUCGGCGUGCACUUCUCCUCUAGUAGGACGUCGCGACCCGUUGGGUGUCGGUCCACGGAACGGGUGGUUGCCUGUCGCGCGACGCGCUACGCGGCGUUUGUCGCGCGGCAGACCCCCGUAUGCCUGGCCAGCUCUCGGCGGUAUUCGUACGGUAUCGAGCCGCAUUUCGCACGUUUGCGUCCGACCCGUUGCACGUAGGCCAGUGCCCGUCUAUACGGACUUAGCGCCGGAGUCAGGCUUGGUCGAGCGUUCGCGACGGUGUUCUCGGGCUGGCUCAAUGAUAUCGGUCAGCGACGCUAUUGCUUCGGGUACUUUCAAGACCCGUCUUGAAACACGGACCAAGGAGUCUAACAUGUGCGCGAGUCAUUGGGAAUAAGAAACCCAAAGGCGAAAUGAAAGUGAAGGUCCGACAUUGCGUCGACCGAGGGAAGAUGAGCCGCUGAAAAGUGGUUCCGCAUUCCCGGGGCGUCUCGUUCUCAU